UACGUAGGGGGCAAGCGUUGUCCGGAAUUAUUGGGCGUAAAGAGCGUGUAGGCGGCCUGAUAAGUCGGUUGUGAAAGUCAAGGGCUCAACCCUUGAAUGCCGGCCGAUACUGUCAGGCUAGAGUCCGGAAGAGGCGAGUGGAAUUCCUGGUGUAGCGGUGAAAUGCGCAGAUAUCAGGAGGAACACCGAUGGCGAAGGCAGCUCGCUGGGACGGUACUGACGCUGAGACGCGAAAGCGUGGGGAGCGAACAGG
rnacentral:rRNA from 1 species